AGGGGCCUUGUGUUCUCAUUUUCUUCUGGGUUUGUGUGCAGUUCAGCCAAGUGGAAAAGUCAGGCAAGCAGCUUGGGAUCUGGUUCUGGCAGUCAAGGCUGGAGAAAGAAGCCCGGGAUGCUUCAGCAUAAGGAGAGAAGGGCCAGUCGAAAAUGAUGCUUUCCAACUUGCAAAUCCUGCUGAAGAUAACACAUGUGGCAGGUUCAUAGAUACACCCUUCAAGGCUGUCCCUCCAAAUGAGAAGAGCAUGAACUAUGUGGUUGUACAGCUUGGGUGUGAAUUCCAGCUUGGCCACUAUGUGACUUUGGAAAAAUUACUUAACUUUGUGUGCCUAAUUUCCUCAUCGGAAAAACAAAGAUAAUAAAACAUACCUCUUGGGGUUGUUGUACGGAUUAAAUGUGCCUGUGUAUACAGAACCCCUAACACAGUCUCUCAGAUGUUGUAACUGUUUAACAAGUAGUGAUGUGAUUAUUGUUGAUAAUGUUGAUGGUAAGGCCACUUACCCCACCAUGGGUUCAAUUUUAGGAAGCUCAUCGUUGCUGCAUGGCUGAGCCCUGUCUGCAAUACCGCUAGUAUCAGUAAUAAAAUGGAUACUUUGAUCUCUAC
rnacentral:lncRNA from 10 species